rnacentral:rRNA from 1 species
GUGUCAGCCGCCGCGGUAAUACGGGGGGAGCGAACGUUGUUCGGAAUUACUGGGCGUAAAGGGCGUGCAGGCGGCCUUGUAAGUGGGAUGUGAAAUGCCCUGGCUCAACCAGGGAACUGCAUCCCAUACUGUAAGGCUUGAGUAUAGGAGAGGAUGGGGGAAUUCCCGGUGUAGCGGUGAAAUGCAUUGAUAUCGGGAGGAACACCAGUGGCGAAGGCGCCCAUCUGGCCUAAUACUGACGCUCAAGCGCGAAAGCUAGGGGAGCAAACAGGAUUAGAUACCCUAGUAGUCC